AGAUUGAACGCUGGCGGCAGGCCUAACACAUGCAAGUCGAGCGGCAGCACGGGUACUUGUACCUGGUGGCGAGCGGCGGACGGGUGAGUAAUGCCUAGGAAUCUGCCUGGUAGUGGGGGAUAACGCUCGGAAACGGACGCUAAUACCGCAUACGUCCUACGGGAGAAAGCAGGGGACCUUCGGGCCUUGCGCUAUCAGAUGAGCCUAGGUCGAUUAGCUAGUUGGUGAGUAAUGGCUCACCAAGGCGACGAUCCGUAACUGGUCUGAGAGGAUGAUCAGUCACACUGGAACUGAGACACGGUCCAGACUCCUAGGGAGCAGCAGUGGGAAUAUGGACAAGUGGACGAAAGCCUGACUCCGAGCCAAGUGCCGCGUGUGUGAAGAGGUCUUCGGAUUAGAAAGCGUAACUUUAAGGUUGGAAGGAACGGUACUAGUUAACC
rnacentral:rRNA from 1 species